rnacentral:rRNA from 1 species
CCUACGGGAGGCUGCAGUGGGGAAUAUUGCGCAAUGGGCGAAAGCCUAACGCAGCGACGCCGCGUGAGGGAUGAAGGUCUUCGGAUCGUAAACCUCUGUCAGCAGGGAAGAACGGUCACUGUGCUAAUCAGCAGUGAAUUGACGGUACCUGCAAAGGAAGCACCGGCUAACUCCGUGCCAGCAGCCGCGGUAAUACGGAGGGUGCGAGCGUUAAUCGGAAUUACUGGGCGUAAAGCGCUCGUAGGCGGUAUGUCAAGUCAAGGGUGAAAUCCCCGCGCUCAACGUGGGAACUGCCUUUGAAACUGGCAGACUGGAGUGUGUGAGAGGAUAGUAGAAUUCCAGGUGUAGGGGUGAAAUCCGUAGAGAUCUGGAGGAACAUCAGUGGCGAAGGCGACUAUCUGGCACAUAACUGACGCUGAGGAGCGAAAGCGUGGGUAGCAAACAGGAUUAGAUACCCGUGUAGUC